AAUAUACAAGGGUGUUAUUCAAUCCAAAUAUUGAUGCCGCUGCAGAAUUGAAGCAAAGAAUGCUGGACAGAACAAUUUCUAAGCCUCAUUCGAUAUAUGCAAUAAAUGAAACUACAAAAGCACAUGUAUUGGAUCAGUGGGUGUACAAAACAAUUAGACAUACUCUAUCAACCCUUGGUUUAUGUGCAAUGGGGUCGGUGUACGCUAUAUUGGGCAAAGUAGAACAUUUGGAACCUAACUGCGAUUGGUGGUAUUUAUCCUGUGUAUGCAAUACCAAAGUGAUUCCUUAUGAUAAUAUGUAUUAUUGGAGAACAUGCAGUAGACGUGUUUUAAUUGUUAGUCA